rnacentral:lncRNA from 1 species
UCUAAAUUUCAGCUGUUAAUGCUGCCUUUGCUGUCAACCAGGUCAAAAAUCCUGCAUAAUUCCCCGUAUCUAUCUCGCUUCCCAGCAGAGAGAAAUGAAACCCCUUCCUGGACCUUGGAUGAGCGUGAGGGAAAGACCCACUUUCUGAAGCCUCUAGGGAGGAACAUGGCCUCAACAGAGGGGGAAGGAGGUACUUAGCACUUACGAAAUGCAAGCUCAGGGCAGGCAGUGAGGAACAUCUACACUUAGAGAAGUCUUUCUGGAAAGCCAGUGGAAAUCAUUUGCUCAAAUAUUAGUGAUUUGUGAGAUAAUCUAUUAUAGAUUAAUCAUUUCAGUCUUAUGGUACAAUGUCAAAAAUAAAUUGGGGUUAUGAAGCUGGAGGGGAGCCACUUGGGGGUCGUGUGUUCUCACUGACGCUCCUUAUUUGACUUUGAAAACAGCGUCAUGAUGAGAUUUUUGAAGCUGAUUGUUACCCCAUGGAAUCCAAAUCACAAGGAGAAGAGAGAUCAGGCACAUCCGUGAAAAGGGUGGCUGGCUGGGAUCACGUCUGUGAAGCAGCACAGUCACCAAGGAGCAGGUCGGAGAAGAAGCAGCACUUCGGUACCCAUGGCAUGAGACGGGGGGCCCCCAGGAGUCAGGCACCCGCUCUGGUUGGUGGGGUACAAACAAAUCCCAUGGAGAACCAAGAUGCUCCCACAAAGCAUAAAAUAUCUCUCCAAGUAAAAAAUCUUCCCUCAAGAUGUUUUAUUCAAGCUUUUUUCUUAAAGAAGGAAGUGGUAAUUUUUCCCUUUAAAUUCUGUUUUCUUUUUCCCCCCCUGGUUUGGUCUCUCCCAUAAACACAGAGGCCAGAAGGCUAUGCUUAAAUAAUUCAUCUACAAAUUUGCAAUAUCUUUUUGAACUAUAGCAAUUAAACGGAAAAUAGAAAAAUCAGCUCAGCAUCCUGUUUGGAUGUAAUUAAAGGUAUAAUCUGUUCCAUUUGAAUACUUCAGUGCUUACCCUUCUUAAAACAACAAAUAAGAAUAGUAGCUCAUUUGCAAUAUGCUUUUUUUUUCAAGUCAGCUAAAAAGACUAACUGAUGAAGCAAGAAUAAUAAUUUUUAAAUGUGGCAUAAGCACAAAAAUACCAACUACAGCUUUCAAAUGAUUGCUGCAGAUCUCAAGUGUGAUGAGAGUUCAGCAACAAGGGAUAGAAGCUUUAUGGCAGAACACUGAAGUCUUCCACUAUUCGGUAUCAACAUCUCGAUAUGGCUGAUAUAAUUACCUAUCAAAUACAUCAGUGGAAUGAAUAUCAGAUGAUAUCCAAAAAUAUGUAAGUGGGAUGCAGAUCAGCUCAGUCUUUUAGGGGCCGUUUGAUCUAAGGUUUUUUCUAAGAAUAAAAGACAAAUACUGCAUUUGUUGCCCCUUUGU